GAUGAACGCUGGCGGCGUGCCUAAUACAUGCAAGUCGAGCGAACAGAUGAGGAGCUUGCUCCUCUGACGUUAGCGGCGGACGGGUGAGUAACACGUGGAUAACCUACCUAUAAGACUGGGAUAACUUCGGGAAACCGGAGCUAAUACCGGAUAAUAUAUUGAACCGCAUGGUUCAUUAGUGAAAGACGGUUUUGCUGUCACUUAUAGAUGUAUCCGCGCCGCAUUAGCUAGUUGGUAAGGUAACUGCUUACCAAGGCAACGAUGCGUAGCCGACCUGAGAGGGUGAUCGGCCACACUGGAACUGAGACACGGUCCAGACUCCUACGGGAGGCAGCAGUAGGGAAUCUUCCGCAAUGGGCGAAAGCCUGACGGAGCAACGCCGCGUGAGUGAUGAAGGUCUUCGGAUCGUAAAACUCUGUUAUUAGGGAAGAACAAAUGUGUAAGUAACUAUGCACGUCUUGACGGUACCUAAUCAGAAAGCCACGGCUAACUACGUG
rnacentral:rRNA from 1 species